UUUUAUGGAGAGUUUGAUCCUGGCUCAGGAUGAACGCUGGCGGCGUGCCUAAUACAUGCAAGUCGAGCGAACAGACGAGGAGCUUGCUCCUCUGACGUUAGCGGCGGACGGGUGAGUAACACGUGGAUAACCUACCUAUAAGACUGGGAUAACUUCGGGAAACCGGAGCUAAUACCGGAUAAUAUAUUGAACCGCAUGGUUCAAUAGUGAAAGUCGGUUUUGCUGUCACUUAUAGAUGGAUCCGCGCCGCAUUAGCUAGUUGGUAAGGUAACGGCUUACCAAGGCAACGAUGCGUAGCCGACCUGAGAGGGUGAUCGGCCACACUGGAACUGAGACACGGUCCAGACUCCUACGGGAGGCAGCAGUAGGGAAUCUUCCGCAAUGG
rnacentral:rRNA from 1 species